rnacentral:tRNA from 1 species
AAGGGUAUAGCAGAAUGGUAGAGUGCAUGCCUAGCAUAGCAUGCAUGAGGUCCUGGGUUCAAUCCCCAGUACCUCCA